UUACAUCAAAUUGCUUUUCUUUCCACCUCCUUCGGGCUUGUUAAUUGUUAUUUACGAUAUCAAUCCAUGAUCCUAUUCGUCGUUGCGAAGUCUUGAACCAUUGAAACGUUAAAUGAAAUAGUGAAUUUCAUUGCACCUAAACCAAAGCAGUCGCUUGCAUGCUUACACACACCAAUCAUAAGGAGGUGAAGAAUGAAUGCAAAUAGCCGAAGUAAAGUCCAUACAAGCUUCUUCUGUUUAAUUUCUUUUUUCUUUUUUCUGCGGAUUUAAAAGACUUUUAUCUUUUCAAAAGAAUCUUCAUUUUCACGAUAGCGUUUUUAAAACGACGAACUAACAAUGACUUGUUUUUCUACCAAAAUAGUAGCGGGUAUUGCGGAAAACCCGUAUUUUCGAGCUUUUUGAAAAUCAUUGUCUACUGCUAAAACAUCACUAACACAAGUAGAAUAUUGCUGAAAUCAUGACUAUUUAGUCAAAAAAUUUCCUUUUUCUUCUUAGGAGUGGUAGAGGGAGGAAAGUAAAAAUCAACGAGAAACUUUGCAGCGCUUAUUUACCGCAAAGUGGGGAUGGCGAGUCAAUAUGGAAUAAAUUAAUGGAAAAAAAAAGAAUGGCAUGACCUGCGCAUUCUUGUAUGUUUUUUUAGUCGAUCUAUCGUACACAAAAAGCAUCCAAAAUUUUUUUACAUUAAAUUUCUACACCAACUUAAAUAUCAUUUACAA